CGGACGGGUGAGUAAUGUCUGGGAAACUGCCUGAUGAGGGGGAUAACUACUGGAAACGGUAGCUAAUACCGCAUAACGUCGCAAGACCAAAGAGGGGGACCUUCGGGCCUCUUGCCAUCGGAUGUGCCCAGAUGGGAUUAGCUAGUAGGUGGGGUAACGGCUCACCUAGGCGACGAUCCCUAGCUGGUCUGAGAGGAUGGCCAGCCACACUGGAACUGAGACACGGUCCAG
rnacentral:rRNA from 1 species